rnacentral:rRNA from 1 species
GACGAACGCUGGCGGCGUGCUUAACACAUGCAAGUCGAACGGUAAGGCCCUUCGGGGUACACGAGUGGCGAACGGGUGAGUAACACGUGGGUGAUCUGCCCUGCACUUCGGGAUAAGCCUGGGAAACUGGGUCUAAUACCGGAUAGGACCACUGCCUGCAUGGGUGGUGGUGGAAAGCUUUUGCGGUGUGGGAUGGGCCCGCGGCCUAUCAGCUUGUUGGUGGGGUGAUGGCCUAGCAAGGCGACGACGAGUAGCCGGGCUGAGAGGGUGAACGGCCAGACUGGGACGGGAGUACGGCCCAGACUCCUACGGGAGGCAGCAGUGGGGAAUAUUGCACAAUGGGCGCAGGCCUGAUGCAGCGGCUCCGCGUGAGGGAUGACGGCCUUCGGGUUGUAAACGUCUUUCAGCACCGACGAAGCGCAAGUGACGGUAGGUGCAGAAGAAGGACCGGCCAACUACGUGCCAGCGGCCGCGGUAA